GACAGAGGUCAGAGGUCAAACGUUUUCUGUAAGUCUUCACAAGGUUGGCACAAACUGUAGCUGGUAUUUAUACCUCAUUAUUCUGGAGCCUCUAAUUGGUUUCAUCUUUUAUAAUUACUUUUCUAAUGAGAAAUCACAAACAAUAAGUUGUUAAUUAUCUCACAUUUUCUGGCUUCUUUAAUGUCUUAUUUACACAAUUUGUCUUAUUUGUGUUUAGAGGGAAUGUGGUUUCUGCUUCACACUGGAUGAUCUUAUAAAAAACAUUUCUCAGUUUAAAUCCAGCCCUGCUGUUUAUAACCUACCAGCUAACAGCAGUUAUUAUCCUACUGGAUUAUUGUGAGGUUUGAUUUUACUGUUAAAUGGAGAGAAAAGAAACCAAACAUUUGACAUUUGUCUAUUUUUUUAUGAAUUUAUGGCAGUUUUUAAACAUAAACCCUGGAAAAGAUGGAUGGAUGGAUUGAUUGAUUCUCAAGGGCAAAUUGUUUUUUGUUUACAAGCUACUUCUUCUGAGGUUUUAAAUUUCCAUAAUACAAAUAUAGGAACCAAGGAACAUUUAAAUCCUGGAUGAGAAAGUAACAGGUGGCACCACUAGGUGUCGCUCUCUCUACCUGAGCCUGAGCCUCCAUAAAAGGGAAGCUGGAAGGAUGGUGGCCAAGGAUCAGUUUCCUGUGUGUGAGACCAGCUGUGUGUUGGGCCCACGCUGUUUGCUGGCUGUGGACUGCAUUGUUGAUGGUGUUCAGCUGGUAGCGUUACCUGGGCGUGGUUGUUGGACGCCGCAGGGUUGCACCAGAUCGGCUACACCAAGGUUUGAUCUGAGAGUGUUGAUUUAUGCGAUGCAGGUAGGCAGUGUUUUAAUGUGUUUUAGGUUGAUUUGAUUAAAAUGAUUUAAUAAGCAUUUAGUAAUUUCUGUGUUUUUGUUUUACAGUUUUUGC